rnacentral:rRNA from 1 species
GAUGGGACGAACAAUUUCCCCAAAAACACAAAGUUUUGGUCCUAAACUUGCCGAUGUUUUUUAUCAAAAUUACACAUGCAAGCAUCCGCACCCCAGUGAGAAUGCCCUACAAAGUAUCAAGGAGCAGGUAUCAGGCACAACCAGUUAGCCCAAAACACCUUGCUAUGCCACACCCACACGGGCACCCAGCAGUGAUUAAUAUUAAGCAAUGAGUGAACAACCUACAUAAGCUCGACUUAGUUAUGAACAAAAGGGCCGGUCAACCUCGUGCCAGCCACCGCGGUUAUACGAGGGGCCCAAAACAUCGGAUAUCGGCGUAAAUUAUGGCUAGAGAAACUACUUACAAAAAGGAAAGUAAACACGAACCCAACCGUAAAACCUGGGCUAAAAGAAACCCAAAUUCCAAACUACAAAGUAACUUGAACCCAUGAAGACUAAGAAACAAACUAGGAUUAGAUACCCUACUAUGCUUAGCUGUUAACACGACAUUAAACAACACUAAUGUCCGCCAGAGAAUUACGCGCGAAAAGCUUAAAACUCAAAGGACUUGGCGGUGCUCCGUACUCGUCUUAGAGGAGCCUGUCCUAUAAUCGAUACUCCACGCUUUACCUUACCAUCUUUUGUCAAAACAGCCUAUAUACCGCCGUCGCAAAUUUACCC